AAAUUACGAGAAUAAAUCAAAAUAGAAUUUUCUGCAUACAACAAAACUCUAAUUUAAAAAAAAAAUCAUUUUUAAGAUAUGAGAUCUGCUACACUGUUCAUGUUUGCUUGUGCUAUCAUGUUACUUGUUCUGAGUCAGGUUCAAGAGAUGGAGGCUCGAAAGACGAAAGUGUGUGAGAAAACUAGUAUAUGGUCUGAUCGAAUUAAUAGGUGUCACGGUGACAAAAACCAAAAUGAUGUGUGCGUGAAAGCUUUUGCUGACGAUGGAGUAAAAGUUUUCCAAUGCCGUUGUAGUCCUAAUGAAGAACUUAUUUGCUAUUGUCAUACUGCUUGCUAAGUUUACUUAUUUAUCAAUGGAAAACAUAAAUAAUACCUAAUGGUAAAAUAAUAAUAAUAAUAA